AUUGAACGCUGGCGGCAUGCCUUACACAUGCAAGUCGAACGGCAGCACGGGGCAACCUGGUGGCGAGUGGCGAACGGGUGAGUAAUACAUCGGAACGUGCCCAAUCGUGGGGGGAUAACGUAGCGAAAGUUACGCUAAUACCGCAUACGAUCUACGGAUGAAAGCGGGGGAUCGCAAGACCUCGCGCGAAUGGAGCGGCCGAUGUCAGAUUAGGUAGUUGGUGGGGUAAAGGCUCACCAAGCCAACGAUCUGUAGCUGGUCUGAGAGGACGACCAGCCACACUGGAACUGAGACACGGUCCAGACUCCUACGGGAGGCAGCAGUGGGGAAUUUUGGACAAUGGGCGCAAGCCUGAUCCAGCCAUUCCGCGUGCAGGAUGAAGGCCUUCGGGUUGUAAAG
rnacentral:rRNA from 1 species